UAGGGAAUCUUCCACAAUGGACGCAAGUCUGAUGGAGCAACGCCGCGUGAGUGAAGAAGGUUUUCGGACCGUAAAGCUCUGUUGUUGGUGAAGAAGGAUAGAGGUAGUAACUGGCCUUUAUUUGACGGUAAUCAACCAGAAAGUCACGGCUAACUACGUGCCAGCAGCCGCGGUAAUACGUAGGUGGCAAGCGUUGUCCGGAUUUAUUGGGCGUAAAGCGAGCGCAGGCGGAAGAAUAAGUCUGAUGUGAAAGCCCUCGGCUUAACCGAGGAAUUGCAUCGGAAACUGUUUUCUUGAGUGCAGAAGAGGAGAGUAGAACUCCAUGUGUAGCGGUGGAAUGCGUAGAUAUAUGGAAGAAUACCAGUGGCGAAGGCGGCUCUCUGGUCUGCAACUGACGCUGAGGCUCGAAAGCAUGGGUAGCGAACAGGAUUAGAUACCCUGGUAGUCCAUGCCGUAAACGAUGAGUGCUAAGUGUUG
rnacentral:rRNA from 1 species